UACGUAGGGGGCUAGCGUUGUCCGGAUUUAUUGGGCGUAAAGAGCGUGUAGGCGGCCAGGUAGGUCUGCUGUGAAAACUCGAGGCUCAACCUCGAGACGUCGGCGGAAACCAUCGUGGCUAGAGUCCGGAAGAGGAGAGUGGAAUUCCUGGUGUAGCGGUGAAAUGCGCAGAUAUCAGGAAGAACACCCGUGGCGAAGGCGGCUCUCUGGGACGGUACUGACGCUGAGACGCGAAAGCGUGGGGAGCGAACAGG
rnacentral:rRNA from 1 species